rnacentral:rRNA from 1 species
UGCCAGCAGCCGCGGUAAUACGGAGGGGGUUAGCGUUGUUCGGAAUUACUGGGCGUAAAGCGCACGUAGGCGGAUUAGUAAGUUAGGGGUGAAAUCCCGGGGCUCAACCCCGGAACUGCCUCUAAUACUGCUAGCCUUGAGUUCGAGAGAGGUGAGUGGAAUUCCGAGUGUAGAGGUGAAAUUCGUAGACAUUCGGAAGAACACCAGUGGCGAAGGCGACUGUCUGGCACAUUUCUGACGCUGAGGUGCGAAAGCGUGGGGAGCAAACAGGAUUAGAUA